ACUCAUAGUUAUAGUUAUAGUUAUAGUAGAAGCCUGUAAAUAUUCAUCUCUCUCGCUUUGUGGUGAUGCUCGUUCGUAUGCAGUAGAAACAUGCUUUCUCCUUUCAAAAAUGUCAAACUCUAUGUCUUUAGAUCUGUCAUGCCUCUACCUCUUGCUCCAAUUUGAAUAAAAUUUUUCCCUCUGUGCGUGGUACGCUUGCACUUUUUUCUCUCUUUCAAUCUUCUGAAUGUAGUUUUACUUUCUCUUUGUCUAAUACCCUAGUUCACUUAUUUUUUUCAUAAAUCUCGUGUUUUACGUUGCUCUGGACAAAUUGUGGCGAUGGAGUGGUGAUUGGAUCCGAUUCAUGCUUUGUAUGUUCGAUUGGGAACUUCCCUGAUAUCGUUCCUUAGUUGUUCUUCCUCUUCAAUCCAAUCCUCCAUCCACAGCCCCUCUUCCAUCGUCACCAAAGAGGAACAUGAAUUGCAGGAAUAGGAAAAGCUAUUCUUUGAUGUCGACGACGACAAGAACAACGAGUUGACAAAACCCUAAGCCCAAACGCGUCCUUGAACCCAAUCCCACAGGUCAUCCGCCUAUUUCGCCAUGGCGGUCCUUUUCUCGUUGUGUGUUCGCUCUUGUUCUACUUCUUCUACGUCGAGGUGUCCUCCUUGGAGAAAGUUUUACUGGGGUUGAUUUUCGUGGUCGUGGCACUGUACUUUGUGUCCAAGAACAAGGGUUUGAUUUUGAGAUCCUUUUCCGCGGUGAAGCAUUUGUGGGAGGAGAAUGUAAAGCGCUUGGGGUUUUCAAAGGUGGUGGCAGCGAGGCCGGUGCAGUGGUUCAACGGAUAGCCGGCUGAAGCGGGAAGGAAGGCGACGAAGAUAGUGAGGGAACGGGUGUAGUUUUACAGCAAUGGGGAGUCGCUUCAGGGGUUGAGACACAGUUAUGGUGUUUAUAGGUUCUAUAUGGGAUCGCUUGGAGGAUCUGGUCUGUUAUCCCCUUUAGUUGUUGAUUUAUUGGUUCCACUACCACUUUAUGAGUUUUCUGCUUUCUUCUUGCAUGCCUAAGUAGAACUUAAACUACCAAGUUCUAAUUUAGAUGCCUUGGUUGUUAGAUAACUGAUUGAUUGGUUUCUGUGAUGAUUUAUGCGGCUUGUUCGAUUUGUCUACUAAUGGGUUGCAUUGUAAAGUUAUUUUCUUCUUCAAUUAGCAUUCAUUGUUUCUUGGGAGGUUAGAGUAGACAAUAACGCCUGAGGUUUUAGAUGUUGUUUUUCAAAAAUCUUAUUUUGGAUGAAUUGUUGUGCUGUAGAAAUGGUGACAACCUCCUUUUCUCUCCAAGAACGUAAGCCAUUAAACUCUAGUGUAUUUUUUCUUCCCUUAAUAAGCUAGCUCCCACCCACUAACUUUUCUAGUGUUGCACAUGCAACACUUGCUGGUGAGUUUUAUAGCAUUGUUGAUCUUUGCAAUGUCUCUGAAACUCGGUACUUAAUGCAGACCCCUUGUGCUUCCAUGAUCAAUGAACGUCCCCAUGUAAAAGCUUGGUGGGAAGAUAUCUCUUAUAGGCCUGCUUUCAAGUAAGGUUGAGGCGGGAAUGACUUUUGGGCAACAUGCAGUGUUUUACUAAGAUAGGAAGCUCUUUAUCCCUUCAAUAUUUUCUUCAUCUUUUCACAACAGAUUAUACAUACACAUUGAAGCCUUGAGGUGAUAAAUCUUUUUUGAUUGAAGAGAAGCAUCCAUGGCAGGCAUGGCCAACAGUGAGAUUUCACGGCUAGAGGUGAAUUCAGCAACAGCUGGUAAAGGAGGGCUUGAAAUAUAUUCAUUGUUAUAUGUGCACUUAGUGGUGUUUAUGGAGUAACAAAUGCUCAUUUUCAAGGUGGAAUGGUGGGAGACCUGUCCUGCAUGCAACCAGAGUUCAUUCAGUCAUUCCUUGCUGGUUUGGCAGCAUCUGGUGUAUUUUUGUGGGAAUGACAAAAGCAGCAUCUGGGAUUUUUCUUUCAAAAUCAGCCCUUUACAAGUGUAAUAUGGCUGGGAAACCUGCUGUGCUUACACGCAUUAUGGAUAGUGACUGACAACUUAAGACCAACUCGUGCAGAAGCCACUGAUGUUGCCAAUGGUGUUUUAGAUG